CGCCUGUUUAUCAAAAACAUGUCUUUUAGAAAAAAAAAUUAAAAGUCCAACCUGCCCGGUGAUAGAUUUAACGGCCGCGGUAGCCUGACCGUGCUAAGGUAGCGUAAUCAUUUGCCCUUUAAUUGUGGGCUUGUAUGAAUGGUUAGACAAGAGCUCGCCUGUCUCAGAGAAGCAUUUAAAAAUUAACCUUUAGGUGCAGAGGCCUAAAUUCUAGUAAAAGACAAGAAGACCCUAUCGAGCUUUAAUCUACUUUUUUGUAUAUAAAAUAAAAAGAUUUUUAUUGGGGCAAUAUAGGAACAAACAAAGCUUCCUAAAAACCACAAGAAGUACUUUUUUAAAAAGAAACAUUAAAAAUUAUUCUGAAAAUAGCUACCGUAGGGAUAACAGACUAAUCCCCCUUGAGAGUCCACAUUGACAGGGGGGCUUGGCACCUCGAUGUUGGCUUAAGAUAACCAUUAUUUUCUGAAGCAGAACUCUAAUAUGGUAGGUUUGUUCAACCUUUAAUAUCUUACGUGAUCUGAGUUCAGACCGGAAUC
rnacentral:rRNA from 1 species